GGAAUGGCCAUAGUUCAGUGGCAGAAUGUCUGCUUUCCAUGCAUAAGGUCCAAGGUUCAAUCCCUGCCACCUCCA